GUCUAACUCCAUGCCACCCUGAACGUGCUGGAUCUUAUCUGAUCUUAGAAGCUAAGCAGAGUCGGGCCUGGUUAGUACUUGGAUAGGAGACCACCUAGGAAUACCAGAUGCUGUAGGCA
rnacentral:rRNA from 1 species